UAUUAAACUAUUAACUGCAUUAUGAUUAACUAUAUUGCAAUAUUUUUGUGUGAUUAAUUUCCUGAAACAAUUCCAUGGUAACGUCUCUGCCACCAGUCGUAUGGAAGGGGAGAUUUGGAGGUACCUGGUCAGGUCUUGGUCAGCCUUCAAAUCCCAGAUGUGGAGACUGCAGGGAUACCUCACAGAGAAGACACUAAAGAGUCAUCUAUCAUUCAUCGAGUGGACUCAUUGGUUUGCGAAUGACCACAAAGAUGCUCCCAUAGGCAGAUUGCUGCAUGGCAUUCACCACUCAUUCAAAUUGUAGAGGUUGGAGCAGUCUUCCUUGUGGUCACUUGCCAUAACACUGUCAUGUGUUUUAUGAAAACACCCAUCAGUAAUAUUUAAAUUGAGUUGAUGUGGACGGCUCUUUUUUUUGUCCGAUUUCUUCAGUGUUCAGUGCCUGUUUGUGAGAUAUGCAUUGUUUGAAAGAUAAGCCUUUGAUUUUGUUUAAUUUUAAUAUGCCUUUCAUGAACAGUGGUUUGGGGUUUUAUAACAACAAUUAAAGUGCUUAACUACUGGUGAA